UGCGAGUCAUUGUAGCAAUACAAGGCAGACGGCUCAGUAACGCGUAGUCAAUCUACCCUAUGGACGGGAAUAACCUCGGGAAACUGAGAAUAAUGCCCGACAGAACAUUAUACCUGGAACGGUUUAUGUUUCAAAUGAUUUAUCGCCGUAGGAUGGGACUGCGGCCUAUCAGUUUGUUGGUGAGGUAAUGGCCCACCAAGACUAUUACAGGUACGGGCUCUGAGAGGAGUAGCCCGGAGAUGGGUACUGAGACACGGACCCAGGCCCUAUGGGGCGCAGCAGGCGAGAAAACUUUGCAAUGUGCGAAAGCACGACAAGGUUAAUCCGAGUGGUUUCUGCUAAAGAAACCUUUUGCUAGUCCUAGAAACACUAGUGAAUAAGGGGUGGGCAAGUUCUGGUGUCAGCCGCCGCGGUAAAACCAGCACCUCAAGUGGUCAGGAUGAUUAUUGGGCCUAAAGCAUCCGUAGCUCGUUUUGUAAGUUUUCGGUUAAAUCCAUACGCUUAACGUAUGGGCUGCCGGGAAUACUGCAUAACUAGGAAGUGGGAGAGGUAGACGGUACUCGGUAGGAAGGGGUAAAAUCCUUUGAUCUAUUGAUGACCACCUGUGGCGAAGGCGGUCUACCAGAACACGUUCGACGGUGAGGGAUGAAAGCUGGGGGAGCAAACCGGAUUAGAUACCCGGGUAGUCCCAGCUGUAAACUAUGCAAACUCAGUGAUGCAUUGGCUUGUGGCCAAUGCAGUGCUGCAGGGAAGCCGUUAAGUUUGCCGCCUGGGAAGUACGUACGCAAGUAUGAAACUUAAAGGAAUUGGCGGGGGAGCACCACAAGGGUGAAGCCUGCGGU
rnacentral:rRNA from 1 species